CAUCCACCAAAUCCAAAUUCUUUUCUGUUCCACAUAAAAUACCUGCUCCCCAAAAAGAGGAUCAAGAAGGAUGUGGAAGUGGAAACUUCAAGUUCUGAUGCAUGUCAGCCUCCUGCAGAUGGACUCCAUGUAGAUGAACAGAUCCAGAUGCUAUUGAAGAAGAAGGAACAUACAGAGCUGCUAGUUGUUGUAAUUGUUCAGUCUCCUAGCCAGGAUCUCGAGUUCCUUUUACAUCACAAGGAAUUCAAUGCACUGAGGCCACAUGAAUGGUUAUUUGGAGAGACUAUUGAGUGCUAUUUCAGAACUGUACUUAAUAAGGAGGAUGCAAAUCUCUACCAGCUAAGCCAUGACACCACAGGUGUCAUUUUAAAUGGCACAAGAGAGCAGAUGGAACAGCAAGGAUUUUGAAAAGUCAACUUAGAGCAAUAUGAUGGGGUCAUCACUUUUGUCAAUAUCACUAAAAAUCACUGGAGGUUUGUGUUUGUAUAUGCUCAGACUGACACCCUUUUCGUGCUUGACUCUCUGACUGGUACAAAUGAAAUGAAACUAAAAGGCAUGCCAAAAAUUCGGGUAUGAUAGUCUGUUUUAAAAAAAGAUAUUUAGCAUGUGUAGAUCCAAAACAGUAAUACUUUUUUUACUAGCAAGCGCAUACCCUUUCUGCUCUUUGUUCAUGUAUGAUUAUAUUUGUGGAGUGAGACAUGCUUAUAUUAUGCUGUAUUAUAAUCAAUUUUACUAUAAUAAAAUCUUCUUC